GAUGAACGCUGACAGAAUGCUUAACACAUGCAAGUCUUUGGCGAAGCUGUGCUCGCACAGCCUAGCCAAGGCGGACGGGUGAGUAACGCGUAAGGAACUUGCCCUGCAGUCAGGGAUAACAGACGGAAACGACUGAUAAGACCUGGUAAAGUCAGGCGGACUCAUGUCCAGCCUGAUGAAAAGAGAUGCUGCAGGAGAGCCUUGCGUCCUAUUAGCUUGUUGGUGGGGUAACGGCCCACCAAGGCGAUGAUAGGUAGCCGGCCUGAGAGGGUGGACGGCCACAAGGGGACUGGGAGACGGCCCUUACUCCUACGGGAGGCAGCAGUGGGGAAUAUUGGACAAUGGGGGCAACCCUGAUCCAGCAAUUCUGCGUGCACGAUGAAGGUUUUCGGAUUGUAAAGUGCUUUCAGCAGGGAAGAAAAAAAUGACGGUACCUGCAGAAGAAGCGACGGCUAAAUACGUG
rnacentral:rRNA from 1 species